AGUCUUUGUUCUAACAUGUUUUGUUUCAUAGUGGUGGCAAAUUCUGUGUGCCUGUUGGAGCCACCAGACAUCAUGCAGGACCCUGGUGAAGGCCCAUGUACAAUGGAGUAGGAUGAGGAGACUGUGUCUGUAUGUUCAAGGAAGCCGAGGACACUGAGACCCUUCUAGGAAUCUCUCAGACUGGGACCACAGGUGACAAAAAUGCAGAGAACAUAAAGACGGUGUACAAGCGCUACCUCCUCAGACAAAUAGAUGCACUGGAUGUAGACAUCCAAAAAACUGAAGAUGAGAAAUUUGGAACUGGAAAUCCAAUAAUUGGAGAAAGAUGCAAGAAGAACUGCCAUAAUCAAGACAAUGACACUGACCUUUUGA